rnacentral:rRNA from 1 species
UACGUAGGGUGCGAGCGUUGUCCGGAAUUAUUGGGCGUAAAGAGUGUGUAGGCGGUGCUCUAAGUUCGGUGUGAAAUCUCCCGGCUUAACUGGGAGGGUGCGCCGGAAACUGGAGUGCUCGAGCGUGGGAGAGGAAAGCGGAAUUCCUGGUGUAGCGGUGAAAUGCGUAGAUAUCAGGAGGAACACCUGCGGUGUAGACGGCUUUCUGGACCAUUGCUGACGCUGAGACACGAAAGCGUGGGUAGCAAACAGG